rnacentral:rRNA from 1 species
AGUGGCGGACGGGUGAGUAACGCGUGAGAAUCUGCCUUGGGGUCGGGGACAACCACUGGAAACGGUGGCUAAUACCGGAUAAGCCGAUUGGUGAAAGAUUUAUUGCCCGAAGAGGAGCUCGCGUCUGAUUAGCUAGUUGGUGAGGCAAGAGCUCACCAAGGCAGCGAUCAGUAGCUGGUCUGAGAGGACGAUCAGCCACACUGGGACUGAGACACGGCCCAGACUCCUACCGGAGGCAGCAGUGGGGAAUUUUCCGCAAUGGGCGAAAGCCUGACGGAGCAAGACCGCGUGAGGGAGGAAGGCUCUUGGGUUGUAAACCUCUUUUCUCAGGGAAGAAGCUCUGACGGUACCUGAGGAAUCAGCCUCGGCUAACUCCGUGCCAGCAGCCGCGGUAAUACGGAGGAGGCAAGCGUUAUCCGGAAUUAUUGGGCGUAAAGCGUCCGCAGGUGGCGAUUCAAGUCUGCUGUCAAAGCACGGGGCUUAACUCCGUAAAGGCAGUGGAAACUGAAUAGCUAGAGUGCCGUAGGGGUAGAGGGAAUUCCCGGUGUAGCGGUGAAAUGCGUAGAGAUCGGGAAGAACAUCGGUGGCGAAAGCGCUCUACUGGACGGCAACUGACACUCAGGGACGAAAGCUAGGGGAGCGAAUGGGAUUAGAUACCCC